CACUGGUAUCAAGUUUUAAAUAGUGUGUAUAAAACAGGCAAGCAUGACCUAAAACUCGAGAUCAUACAGACUGGAUACCAUAUCAAGCAAGAUUUUACCUUUCUGUUUGUAUUAGGGAGAGUCCUAAUGGAAUGCAUAACGGAUACUGGAGAAACAUAACUUACGAGCAUUCAUUCACCCGCCAUUGCUAAUUGGAAUACAGUUGGACAAGGCACUUCAACCUUUUAGAUUACUUGAGAUUAUUUCUUUGCUACUUUUGGCAGUUAGGAAUAAGGAGACUUUUAGAUGGCUUGGUGAAUACCAUCAUGAAGAUGUGAACUGAAGAACAGAAGAAAGACAGAGAGAAGAAGCUGCACUCAUUUCCUCUACUAUAUUGCUGUUUCAUCAUCCUGAGCAGCCUGAUCUGUUCAUAGCACCAGCUUUAAGCAAGCAGCUCCAGCUGCGGGUAACCACUUGUAGCUACAGUCAGUCGGGCUUGGGGCCUAGGCCGAGCUAGGCCCAAGCUAGGGAGUUGGGCCCGCCACCGCGGGAAACCGGACCUGCCACCAAGCCAAGCCAAGCAGUUUUUAAUGAAUUUCCCCCACGUUGGGUGGCAAAUGUAGAUGAACAGUCUUAUUAAAUAAGAAACACAAAGCCAAUUGCAAAGUUAAAAGCCCAAGAGGUCAGAGCUGAGCUUAUCCUUCUCUGCCACUGCUGUCCUUCCUCUCAGAAAGAGACCUACUUCCUGUGUAUCUGUCUUUUUAUAGACUUUGUGUUCUGCCUUCUCAUUGGUUGUAAACCCAACCACAUGACUUCCUUGUCACUGCCCAUCUAUACAGACCUCCAGGUCUUCUAUGGUUGGUAUUGAGAUUAAAGGCAUGUGUCUCCAUGCUGGUGGUAUCAGCUCUUACCCCCAGGCAACUUUAUUUAUUAACAUACAAAUAAAAUCACAUUUCAGUACAAAUAAAAUGUCACCAUACAUGCAUACUUAUUUUUGUGGGGGAGACAAGAGGGCAUAUGCCACAGAGUUUAUGUGAACACCAGAGAAGCACUUUUGGGAGUUAGCUCUCUCCUCUUACCUUGGGGAGUAUCAGAGAUCAAAUUCAGACCCUCCAGUUUGACAGUAAGUGUUCUUGCCCAUUGAGCCACUUCUCCAGGCCCCUUAUAAGAAUUUAAAGAGAAAAAUGGAGUACUGGUCAAUGAGAGAAGUAAAUGAAACAAAUUCCUAUCCCAAUACCUGCACCAAAAGGCCAUCCACUGGAUACAUGAUACCACAAAUAAACAUGCAGAGCAUUGUGCUAAGUGAAAUAAUCUAACUACAGAAAGAAAAUGAUGCAUCAUCUCACUCACAGGUGGAAUUCAACCAAAUUCACAGAAGCAGAGAUGGAUGAUGCUUCCUACGAAGUUGGGGUUGGGAUGACAAUAAAGGAAAUAAUUUGGCCAAAAUGUAUGGAAUAAACACAUUCUGAAUGUCUGUUUA